UUCUGCCCUCCAUCCCUCCCACUUCUGUCCGUGUAUCUCAUCCAUCUGCCCCUUACUCUCUUCCUCUUCCAUCUCUCCCUCCGUCCGAUUGUCAGUCCCUCCCUGUGGACGCCAGCCUUGAUUCUGGUCCUGGAGCCAAGCAUCUAGGCCACAGUGCUGGCUGUGACCUAGCUGCACAGAAACGGCAAGUGUUACCAAGACCUCUGUGAGCUGCUGAAGGCCAAGGCUGUGAACUGGCUGUGCAGCCAAGCUGACCAGGUUGUGUCAGGAACUCCCAUAUCUGCAUUGCCAUGUAAAACAAUCACCUUGGAAGUAAAAAUCUCAUCUACAUCAGACCCAGCCCAUCACAAUGUACAAGAGAACUCGUGGGGCAACUAUCAACAUGUUGGAGCUGGAACUGCAGGAGCUUUUGGUCAGCAAACCAGUCAUGCAAUGUACUCCCUCCUGCCCCAGAGCCCUGAAUUCAUGGGUCUCAUUCCAUGUUGGCAAAGACUCUGGUUCAUUUUCCAAUAAACAGUGAA